rnacentral:rRNA from 1 species
AGAGUUUGAUCAUGGCUCAGAGUUAACGCUGGCAGCGUGCAUAACACAUGCAAGUCGAGCGGGACUGUUUGAGAUUAUAUCAAUGACAGUUUAGCGGCAGACGAGUGAGUAACACGUAAGAAAUCUACCCCGAAGAAAGGAACAACUCGCCGAAAGGCGAGCUAAUACCUUAUAUAAUCCUCUAGCGGCAUCGCUUAGGG